GGAAGAACGUGUCCACAAGUCCU
rnacentral:siRNA from 1 species